rnacentral:rRNA from 1 species
GUAGGGAAUAUUGGGCAAUGGGGGAAACCCUGACCCAGCAACGCCGCGUGAGGGAAGAAGGCCUAACGGUUGUAAACCUCUGUCAUAUGGGAAGAAGGAAUGACAGUACCAUAUGAGGAAGCUCCGGCUAACUACGUGCCAGCAGCCGCGGUAAUACGUAGGGAGCAAGCGUUGUCCGGAAUUACUGGGCGUAAAGGGUGCGUAGGCGGCAUGUUAAGUUAGAUGUCAAAUACCCGGGCUUAACCAGGGGACGCAUCUAAAACUGGCGUGCUUGAGUGCAGGAGAGGAAAGCGGAAUUCCUAGUGUAGCGGUGGAAUGCGUAGAUAUUAGGAGGAACACCAGUGGCGAAGGCGGCUUUCUGGACUGUAACUGACGCUGAAGCACGAAAGCGUGGGGAGCAAACAGGAUUAGAAACCCGUGUAGUCC